ACAUAUGCCAUCGAACACAAUAUUGGCCAUAUUUUCAUGAACUCCACAAUUAUGUCGAGCAGGCAAAACGAUGGAAUUCCCAAAUUACAAAAACCUUUCUACCAAACAAUAGCGGAGACUUCGGUCCUUCCAUAGUCAAACCAAUUAGUAAUAGUUACUCCUCAAGAUUAUAUAAGUUGGUAUUUUGUUAAUCAUGGUUCCAACAAUAGUAAUUAUAGAAUAAGAAAGAUAAUGGGGUUGAGUUAUUUGCGAGCACUUCUGCAAUUUCUCGAUAGACAAUUACUUCUAUGGGUGUCAAUCCAUAACCUUAUACUCCAUCUCCUUCUUCCCAGUUUUAAUGUCUCUGAUUUCUAUUUAAUUCCAUUUUUUGUUUAUUUUUUGGAGUUGGAUUUUGGUGAAAGUUUGUUUAUUUCUGACUUGUGUUGAUUUGUGCUUGUAGUGGGUCGCCUUUGGUUGGAUUGGGGUUGAUGGUUCUGCACGUUUCUCCUUUGUUUCUUCAUGGAUGCAGGUAUGGGAAUAGGUGUUGGUAUGGUUGAGGAAACCUCCGGCAUUGCAAGCAGAAUCUCAUUGAUCCCUUUCAUAACCGAUUGAACCCUAUCCUUCGUAUUACCCCAGAUUUUCUAGACUCAAUCGCAUCAGUCAGAAAACUCACCAUUGAAGGAGUUUGCGGAACCAUGUGAUUGUUAUCAACAGGUGGGGAGGAGCAGCAGUCGUUGUUCCCAAAGGUACUGUUUGGUUGGAGGUGAAGCUGGGUUUCUGGUUUCUCUCCUGGUGUUGAUUCGCGCUCGAGUUGGUUGGGCAGGAGGUUGAGGAGAUGAGCCUCCAUUAAAACCCCCUACUCCGAGCUGCUGAGUCUUUUUCUUUCUAGGCAUGGUGAGAAAAAUGUGCAGGUAGUACAAAAUUGAGCUACUUCAAAGAAAGUACUUCAGAGCAAGCUCAAUCUGCACGUGUUAUGCAAAUAUGUUACUGAAGAUGCUAAAUUUACUUUACUUCAUGGCAGGGAUGCUACUAAAUCCAGUAUAUCGCCAGCAACUGCAGGAAAUGCUGAAUUCUACCUCUUGCUGAAAUUUAAACAAGACAAACAUGUACUCCUAUGUUAUACACUUGGCCACUUGGAGCAUGUUUGGUAAAAAUUUAGGAAAGAAGUAGGGGGAAAGGGGUAAUGUUAACUAUUACUCCGUACUAUUAUAAGUUGUUUGAUAUACCUUGGGAAAGGAAUCACUUGUAGCAAAUAGAAUUGUUACCAUAGGGUUGGGAGAGGUAACAAAUGGUGGUGUGAGGUUGAAGAUGGCAGACUUUGAACUUCCGAUGUAUUUUUGUUGGAAUUUGUUUCCGUUUCCUAGUUGAACCAAACAAAAAGCUUAGAAUUUCCAUUCCUGGCUUACUCUCUCUUAAUUUCCCUUUCUUGAUUCCUCUCUUUUCAAACAAGAUUAUAUGAAGAAACAUUCAUAUACAUAGUAAAAGACUACAACCAUCCACCAUUAAUUAUAAUACACAUACACUGUCUCCUAAGUUUAUUUUUCUUACCUUCAGGAAAGAAAAAAAAUGAUAUACACAUACACUAAUACACUGAUUGAUUAUAUACAUGUACCAAUCAGUAUUAUUAUAUACCAACUCGCGAUAUUUUGAUUGGUAUAUAUACUGAUAUAUAGUUCUAUGAAGAUCUUGAAACAACAGGUCCAUAAGACCAACUACAGAACAUGUAAUACAACAUAUUGAAGGAGCAUAAUGUAGCUAGAAGCCAAUAAUAAUAGUCAUAGUGACCCCUGUUAAUGUCGCCUGAAACCCAGCUUUCCUGUCCUCCUCCCUUAGUAAUAUCAUUCAACAAGUUAAAUAUUAAACUUGCCAACAAGUUGGCUAUAGCCAUUCCUACCCCGAAGAGACAAGUUGCUAUACUUGACAUACUCUUGGGCAUUUCAGUGUAGAAGAACUCGUUCUGUCCGAUAGCAUUGAAUGAUUCAGCAAGGCCGCUGAAGAUGUAUUGGGGUACUAGCCAAAACGCAGACAUGAGAACUGCUGAUUGUCCGUUUGUAGUAACUACUGCUCGUUCCCUUCGUAUGUAUUCAACAAUUCCAGCAACCAACAUGGACAUGAAUGCACAGAAUAGUCCUAUCCCCAUCCUCAACUUCACAUCAAGGACAACAGGCUUCCCAUAGGCUCUUGAUGCUAGGGGAAGAAGUACGCGGUCAUAGAUAGGAAUCCAGACUACUAUGACGAUGGUUGAGAAGGUAAUAAACGAAGCUGCUGGAACUUCAAAGUUUGACCCUAGAUGCCUGUCCAUGGAUUCCGCUUGGAGCAAACCGAAUGAACUCUGGCUAGCAUGUAUGGACAUUAUGACUCCUGUGGACCAAAUUGGGAGGACUCUAAUCAGAGACUUUAGUUCUUCAACUUCCUCCACUGUGCAUAGUGUCCAUGGAUUUGUGGCCGAGCCAUCAGGACCGAUAUCUUGAUCAAGGUCUUGAAUGGUACAAGCCUUAUUCAAGAAUUUUAAUCUGUCACUAGGAAUUGUUAUUGUUGAAUCUUUCUCCAAAUAAUGGUAUUGAACAACACUUGAUUCUGAUGGAGUUGUUAUUUUUCUGUUUCUGAAAGCUGCGACAGCAACUCGUACAAGGCUGUUGAAGAGACUCUUUUUAACCGGAUUCAUGACGUAAUAAGGAAGAGCAAGGAAGAGGAAGAGGGUUGAUAAGAACAUGAGUAUUACUGGGAUUCCAAAACCAACUGCCCAACCCCAUUGUUCUUGGAUGUACACAAUCAGUGUCAUUGCAAGCACAACAGAGAAGCAACCACAAGCAUAGUACCAGUUGAAGAAUGUUUCCAGAAUUGUCUUGUUUUUGUUAUUAUCUCUUUUGUCCACUUGAUCAGCUCCAAAUGCCAGAGAGCAAGGCCUAACACCACCGGCACCGAUCGCUAUGAAAACAAAGGCGAACACUAGGAGGGCGUACAUUCCGUUUGUAGUUUUCGCUUCCCGGAUUAUUGUUGUCAUCCAAAGCAUAAGCAUCCCCUGUGGUAACAAAAUUUUAUACUAUUACUCCCCCGUCCCUGAAAGAUUGACUCAUUUGACUUUUUACUAAAGUAUUUUUUAUCCAUGUAAAAAAAAACCCAAAAGUCGAUAUGAAAUGGUACAGUCAGUUGUGUGUAAUUUUGUCCAUUUAAUAAACCUUCUGUAUCACCAUGUGAGGUAGGCCUUGCCUUUUGAUCACAUGUUCAUUAUGUAUGUACUGUAGUUCCAUUAUUUGGAUUUGAUAUGUAUCACCUAAUCUGAUCUUAUGUAA